AGAGUUUGAUCAUGGCUCAGGACGAACGCUGGCGGCGCGCUUAAUACAUGCAAGUCGAGCGAGAACCAUGGCUUCGGCCAUGGGGACAGCGGCGAACGGGUGAGUAACACGUGGGUAAUCAACCCCCGACACCGGGAUAGCCCGGGGAAACCCGGAUUAAUACCGGAUGUUCCGUCUGGCUCUCGAGCCGGCCGGAAAAGGGUAGCUUCGGCCUCCGGUCGGGGACGAGCCCGCGGCGGAUUAGCUUGUUGGUGGGGUAAAGGCCCACCAAGGCGACGAUCCGUAGCUGGUCUGAGAGGACGAUCAGCCACACUGGGACUGAGACACGGCCCAGACUCCUACGGGAGGCAGCAGUAGGGAAUCUUGCGCAAUGGGCGAAAGCCUGACGCAGCGACGCCGCGUGAGGGAAGAAGGCCUUCGGGUUGUAAACCUCUUUCAGGAGGGACGAAGCCACUCGGGUUAAUAGCCCAGAGGGUGACGGUACCUCCAGAAGAAGCCCCGGCUAACUACGUGCCAGCAGCCGCGGUAAUAC
rnacentral:rRNA from 1 species